CCUUUCCUAUUCAGAUGACCUCAACGCUGAAUGCCUUGGUAACGUUAUUCGUUUGAGUGUCACUCCUCUUUUUGAAGAUGUUGACGCUGUCUUCAAUGACACACAAAUCAUAAACCUGACGCCUGGCCUUGCUACUCAGUGUGGAUUCAGCUUUAAAUUUGACCCCAUGGGGAAUGCCAUGUUUUUUGCUUCUCUUCAAAACUGCUUUUCCCAAAACAUGGAUGAUAAGAUGUUCAGCUUGGUCAUGCAGUUCAGGCUGCCAGGAAACCACAUGACUGAAGACCCUGUUUAUAGAGUUGG